rnacentral:rRNA from 1 species
GAUGAACGCUAGCUACAGGCUUAACACAUGCAAGUCGAGGGGCAGCAUGAACUUAGCUUGCUAAGUUUGAUGGCGACCGGCGCACGGGUGAGUAACACGUAUCCAACCUGCCGAUGACUCGGGGAUAGCCUUUCGAAAGAAAGAUUAAUACCUGAUGGUAUGAUGAGAUUGCAUGAUAGCAUCAUUAAAGAUUAUCGGUGUACGAUGGGGAGUGCGUUCCAUUAGGUAGUAGGCGGGGUAACGGCCCACCUAGCCAACGAUGGAUAGGGGUUCUGAGAGGAAGGUCCCCCACCAUUGGAACUGAGACACGGUCCAAACUACCUACGGGAGGGCAGCAGUGAGGAAUAUUGGUCGAAU